AUUGAACGCUGGCGGCAUGCUUUACACAUGCAAGUCGAACGGCAGCGCGGGCUUCGGCCUGGCGGCGAGUGGCGAACGGGUGAGUAAUGCAUCGGAACGUGCCCAGUAGUGGGGGAUAGCCCGGCGAAAGCCGGAUUAAUACCGCAUACGACCUGAGGGUGAAAGCGGGGGACCGAAAGGCCUCGCGCUAUUGGAGCGGCCGAUGUCGGAUUAGCUAGUUGGUGGGGUAAAGGCUUACCAAGGCGACGAUCCGUAGCUGGUCUGAGAGGACGACCAGCCACACUGGGACUGAGACACGGCCCAGACUCCUACGGGAGGCAGCAGUGGGGAAUUUUGGACAAUGGGGGCAACCCUGAUCCAGCCAUGCCGCGUGCGGGAAGAAGGCCUUCGGGUUGUAAACCGCUUUUGUUCGGGAAGAAAUCCUCUGGGCUAAUACCCCGGGGGGAUGACGGUACCGGAGGAAUAAGCACCGGCUAACUACGUG
rnacentral:rRNA from 1 species